CUCACUUCUCAGCCUUUUGGCUAAGAGCAAGUGUAGUAUCUGUUCUUAGUUUGAUAAUAAUUGGCACCCGUAUAAGGGCAUCAUUCUAUGAGCCCUUAUAGGGGUGCCACAUACUAUGACAAUGUUUACGUGUAUCAUCUCAUUAAGU
rnacentral:snRNA from 1 species